CUAAUUUGCUCCAGGUCCUUCUGCUUCAAAACGACUCUCGUUGUCGGUCGCUACCCGUCCCCCUCUCUGGUCGACGGUGGCGGCUGCCCAGAUCGGCAGAUCCGUUGCUUCCCUGGUCGACAACGGCCACGGUCUCCUCCUCCCUGGUGGCCACAGGCGCCCCGCCCGGUCAGCUGCACAUUCUUAGAUCCGGAGGCCAAUCUAGUAGAGGUCGAGUCCAUGGUGAUGUUGCCACGGUUUCUCCUCCCCGGUGCUCCUAGAUCCAACAAUAGCUCACUAGAGGCAAGGCGGUGGUUCUUGAUCUCCUCGCCUCCUUCGCCUUGCAGGCUCGGCAGCAAGCACAUGAAGACUCAUGAGCAAGAUGCACUAUAACUGGAGGCAAAAGGGAAUAACUUUUCUUUGAUGUGCAAUCAGAUAACAAACCCAAUGCAAGCUUUGGUAGUGAUGCUUAUUUAGCAGGGACCACUUCAGACCAUACUCGGGGCUCUCUGUUCAUGUACUAGAAAAGGAUCGUGUCAUGUUAAGUUAUAUAUGUAUGUCUCUUGUGUACUCAAAUUAGGAUGGAUGUCAUGCACUCAAAUAUUUCUACCUAUGCUGAU
rnacentral:rRNA from 1 species